rnacentral:rRNA from 1 species
CGGAACGAUGGGAGCUUGCUCCCAGGCGUCGAGCGGCGGACGGGUGAGUAACACGUGGGAAUCUGCCCAUUAGUGGGGGAUAACUCGGGGAAACUCGAGCUAAUACCGCAUAAUCCCUACGGGGGAAAGCAGGGGAUCUUCGGACCUUGCGCUGAUGGAUGAGCCCGCGUCGGAUUAGCUUGUUGGUGGGGUAAUGGCCCACCAAGGCGACGAUCCGUAACUGGUCUGAGAGGAUGGCCAGUCACACCGGGACUGAGACACGGCCCGGACUCCUACGGGAGGCAGCAGUGGGGAAUCUUGGACAAUGGGCGCAAGCCUGAUCCAGCCAUGCCGCGUGUGUGAAGAAGGCCUUCGGGUUGUAAAGCACUUUCAGUAGGGAGGAAGGCUUUGGGCUAAUACCCUGGAGUACUUGACGUUACCUACAGAAGAAGCACCGGCUAAUUUCGUGCCAGCAGCCGCGGUAAUACGAAAGGUGCGAGCGUUAAUCGGAAUUACUGGGCGUAAAGCGCGCGUAGGCGGUGUGUUAAGUCGGAUGUGAAAGCCCAGGGCUCAACCUUGGAAUUGCAUCCGAUACUGGCACGCUAGAGUGCAGUAGAGGGAGGUGGAAUUUCCGGUGUAGCGGUGAAAUGCGUACAGAUCGGAAGGA